rnacentral:lncRNA from 1 species
AAUAAAUUCAUUCUUGUGAGAGCUCUUUGGGAACAAAAGCGCUAUCCAAGAACUUUAGGAAUGUGUUAUACUGUUGUGCUCCCCCAAGCGCUUCGUCUAGUGCUGUGCACUCAGCAAGUGCUCAAUAAAUACGAUCGAUCGGUUGAUUGACUAAAAGCACUAUAGAAAGCCAAGACGUUAUUUUACUUGGUAGGAGAAAACAAGGAGAGGAGGGCAAGAGAGAGUUCGUCUGAAGACACAAUCCCAGCCUCCCUGUCUGCCCUGGGUUCAAGGAGCGGUGAAGCUAAGGGUCCCCAGUCCGUGCCCCAUUCCUCUCGAGGGGUGGGGAGUGACCUCCUGCUCCUCUUCCUCCUCCAUCUUCUCCCGCUCCUCUUUCUCCUCCUCCUUCACCUUCUCCACUUCCUUCUUCUCUUCUUCCUCCUCUUCCUUCUCCUCCUCCUCCUCCAUCUUCUCCCCCUUCUCCUCCUCCUCCUCCUCCUCCUUCCCCUCCUCUUCCUCCAUCCUCUCCUCCCCCUUCUCCUCCUCCUCUUCCUCCUCCUUCUCCUCUUCUUCUUCCUCCUUCUCCUCCUCCUUCCCCUCGUCCUUCUCCUCCUUCUCCUCCUCUUCCUUCUCCUUCUCCACGUCUUUCUUCUUCCCCUCCUCCUCCUCCAUCUUCUCCUCCACCUUCUCUUCCUCUUCUCCUUUCUUCUCCCUCCUCCUCCCCAGCCCCCCCCGGACAGAAGGAUGCUCUGGAAGGAAGGACCAAGAAACGCGGUGCGCAGCCGGCGGCCUCGGCCCCCCUCCCCAGGGCCCCCUCCCCAAAGCCCGCCUCCCCCACGGACGAUGGCGCGCAGGGACCCUCCUCCUCCUCCACCUCCUCCUCCUCCUCCUCCUCCUCCUCCUCCUCCGCCACCGCCUCCGCUCGGAGCCGCUCUUGGUCGGGCCGUGCCUCCCUCCGGGCGCCCCCUCCCCUUCCCUUUCCCCUUCUCCUUCCCCUCCUCCUCCUCCUCCUCCUCCUCCGGGCGCCCCCUCCCCAUCCCCUCCCGCGGAAAGCGCCGCCUCUGCCUCCAGCCCAACUUCCAACAGCCCCCGGCCGGGCGCGGACACUGCACGGCGCCACCACCUUGGACACGGACGGGAGAAGGCGCCCGGGGGCUGCUCGGACACAGAGACAGAUAACCACUCCCCUGCCCCUGCCCCUGCCCCUGCCCCUGCCCCUGCCCCUGCCCCGUCCUGCCCCUUUCCCUGCUCCUGUCCCUGCCCUGCCCCUUGCCAGGCCCCUGCCCUGUCCUGCCCCUUUCCCUGCUCCUGCCCUGCCCCUUUCCCGGCCCCUGACCCUGUCCUGCCCCUUUCCCUUUCCCUUUCCCUGUCCUGCCCCUUUCCCUGCCCCUGUCCCGUCCUGCCCCUUUCCCUUUCCCUUUCCCUGCCCCUGUCCCUUUCCCGGUCCCUGCCCCUGCCCUAAUCCCGCCCCUCUCCGGAUCCCCGGGGACCCCAGUCCCCCCCUCUUGGGGGGUCGAAGAGGAGAGAGCCAGCCACAGCCCCGUGCGCCUUCGCCGCGCCCGGGACCCCAGCCCGACCGGCUCGGGAGUCGAGGAGAAGAAAGAGAUCGUCAGAGAGCCACAGAGCCCGAGAGAGAGCGACAGAGAGCCACAGAAAGACCACCACAGCCCGGGCGCCCUCGUCGCGUUUAGAGAGAGAGAGAGAGAGAGAGAGAGAGAGAGAGAGAGAAGAGAAGAAGAAAGAAAGAAAGAAAGAAAGAAAGAAAGAAAGAAAGAAAGAAAGAAAGAAAGAAAGAAAGAAGAAAGAAAGAAAGAAAGAAAGAGAGACCCUCCCUCCGCUGCCCCUGACUUUCUUCCAACCCCUCUCCGGAUCCCCAGGGACUCCAACCUGCCCGGCUCGGAGGUCGAGGAGGAGAGAGAGAUCGACAGAGAGCCACAGAAAGAGAACCGCAGCCCGUGCGCCCUCGCCGCGCUUGGAGAGAGAGAGAGCGACGUCCCUCCCCUGCCCCUAAUUUACUCCCAUCCCUUUUCCGGAUCUCCAGGGACCCCAGGCCGACCGGCUCGGGGGUCGAGGAGGAGAGAGAGAUCGACAGAGAGCCACAGAGACCGAAAGAGAGCGGCAGAGAUCUAGAGAGAGCGACAGAGAGCGAGCCACAGCCCGUGCGCCCUCGCCGCUUUUGGAGAGAGCGGGACACCCCCCCCCCCCCCCGCCCCUGACUUUCUCCCAUCCCCUCUCCGGAUCUCCAGGCACCCCUGGCCGACCGGCUCGGGGGUCGAGGAGGAGAGAGAGAUCGACAGAUACCCAGAGAGAUCGACGGAGAGCCACAGAAAGAGAACCACAGCCCGUGCGCCCUCGCCGCGCUUGGAGAGAGAAAGAGAGAGAGAGACGCCCCUCCCCUGCCCCUGACUUUCUCCCAUCCCCUCUCCGAAACUCCAGGGACCCCUGGCCGACCCGCUCGGGGGUCGAGGAGGGGAAAGAGAUCUUCAGAGAGGCACAGAAAGAGAGCCACAGGCACAGAAAGAGAGCCACCGCCCGGGCUCCCUCGCCGCGCUUGGAGAGAGAAAGAGGGACCCCCCCCUCCCCUGCCCCUGACUUUCUCCCAUCCCCUCUCCGGAUCUCCAGGGACCCCUGGCCGACCGGCUCGGGGGUCGAGGAGGAGAAAGAGAUCGACAGAGAGCCGCAGAGACCGAGAAAGAGCGGCAGAGAGCCGGCCACAGUCCGUGCGCCCUCCCCGCGCUUGGAGAGAGAGAGGGGGACCCCCGUCCCCUGCCUCUGACUUUCUCCCAUCCCCUCUCCGGAUCCCCGGGGACCCCUGGCCGACCGGCUCGGGGGUCGAGGAGGAGAAAGAGAUCGACAGAGCGAGCGGGCGAGGCCCCGUCCGUGCGCCGGCCGGGCGUUAGCUUGGUGCGUUAGGUUGGGGUGGGGAUGGAGGGCGCGGGCGGGAACCAGACGGAGGCGUCGGGGCUGCUGCUGCUGCUGCUCCCGCCGGCGGCGGACAACAGCAGCGAGGGUCUGGAGCGGGUGGUCCGCUGCUGCACGCCGGCCUCCGUGGUCACCGACGGCGGCCUGGGCCCCGGAGGCCCCGACGAGCGCAGCCUCUACAUCAUGCGCCUCGUGCAGAUCGCCGUCAUGUGCGUCCUGGCCCUCACCGUCGUCUUCGGCAUCUUCUUCCUCGGCUGCAACCUGCUCAUCAAGUCCGAGGGCAUGAUCAACUUUCUGGUCAAGGACAGGAGGCCGUCCAAGGAGGUGGAGGCCGUGGCCGUGGGGCCCUACUGACCGGUCCCCUCGGGGGAGAAGGCUCGCCGGGACUCGGCUCCCCUCGGAUCCCCCCACCUCGGACCCCCCCGGGCUCCCCCUCGGACCUCCCUCGGACCCCUCUAGGACUCUCCUUGGACACCCUUUGGACCCCCCCUUUGGACCCCCCAAGGACUUCCCUUGGACCCUCCUUAGAUCCCUCUUGGAUUCCCCUUGGUUCCCCCCCACACACACACACACAAAGACACACACGCACACACCCCCACCCCCAUCCUCCCCGGCCACACAUCCCGGCCUGGGUUUGGAGAGAACGGGUUUGGGAGCCCGGGGGAGAUGGGUCGAUAACAUGUGGGAUGUGCUGUUGGACGGACUGGUUUUUGGGGGGCUGAAAAAAAAAUUUAAUACCGAAAAAAUAUUUGAUGAGUCGUUUUCCGCACCCUCUUUAAGUUGGUGGGAUCCCGAGUUGUCGUUCCAAGAGAAAUAGGAUCCCCCCACCUCCAAGGACCAACCCCGCAAUUGUGAGUGGGUUGAGUCGUUCAUUUGUUGUGUGUCUCCUGUUGCUUUUCGUAUGGGGAGGGAGGGGAGGGCUGAAAUGAUUGUCGGGGUUUGGGGGGGAGAUGGGCCGGGGCGUGGGUCCGCACGGUUUUCGCAGCUAAAGUGUGUGUGGUUGGUCUGUACGGUCCUGUUUGGAUAGUCUUUUCUCUAUUGACUUUUUAUUUAAUAAAGACAUCUUCGGAAAGGCCGGGGGCUUCGGGAACCGUCUGUGGGCUUCAACGGCGCUGGAGGUUGGGCGGAGGGCGGCAAGGGAGGACCCGCGGGGAGGUUGUGGUUUGGGGUUGGGGAUAUUUGGAUCCAUUUCUGUGCUGGGCAGCUCAGGGUGGGCUGGGGGGUGGGGGGUGUGGAGAGGGUCCCCUUGGCGGGGAGGGGACCCCUGGAGGGAGGAAGACUUGGGAUGGGGCAGAAGUAGCAGGGCGCAAUUGGCAGAAGCCCUUGUCUUGGCAAUUCCCCUUUCUUGCAAGGGUUGGGGGUGGCUGAUGGGAGACCAAGGCGCUGCUAGACCCCCCUAAAAGGGAGGUGGCUAGGAAGGGGUCUCGGCUACAGAUGUUCACUAGAUGGAUAUACUUCUAGACCUUGAGCUCGUCGUGGGCAGGGAUUGUCUCUCUUUAUUGCUGUAUUGUACUUUCCCGAGCGCUUAAUACAGUGCUCUGCAUGCAGUAAGCGCUCAAUAAAUAUGAUUGAAUGAACAGUUGCAACUGCUGUGCUUAUAGGGCGCAGUGUGCAUGUGUGCACUUGUGUGCCCAUUUGUGUGUGAGGGCCAACUGUAUGUGAUCCUGCGUGUACGUGUGCCUAUGGGUGCCCUCGCAGAUGUACUUUUUUGUGUGUUUGCCCAUGUGUGUGCCCGGGUAUGUUUUGUGCACCUGUGGAAUGUGUGUUGCCGCCUAUGUUUCUAUGUGGGAACGUGUCUGCGAACUCUGUUGAAUAGUACUCUCCUAAGAGCUUAGUAUAUAAAGGGCUCUGCUCAUAGUAAGCACUCAGUAAGUAGCAUUGAUUGAUUGUGUGUGUGUGUGUGUUUUUGUGUGUGUGUAUGUGUGUGUACAUGUGUGUGUAAGGCCAGGAUUGUUGGAAACAGAUUUUCAGCAAAGCUCAGAGCAGAGCGGGUUCACAUCUGUCAGUCU